GCUGGGAGCCAUUGGGCAGGCGCCGAGGGUAGGGCUCGUGACUGGGGCGAAGUCGUAACAAGGUAGCUGUACCGGAAGGUGCGGCUGGAUCACCUCCUUUCUAAGGAG
rnacentral:rRNA from 1 species